rnacentral:rRNA from 1 species
UCUGGUUGAUCCUGCCAGUAGUUAUAUGCUUGUCUCAAAGAUUAAGCCAUGCAUGUCUAAGUACACACGAAUUAAAAGUGAAACCGCAAAAGGCUCAUUAUAUCAGUUAUGGUUCCUUAGAUCGUUAACAGUUACUUGGAUAACUGUGGUAAUUCUAGAGCUAAUACAUGCAAUUAAAACAUGAACCUUAUGGGACAUGUGCUUUUAUUAGGCUAAAACCAAGCGAUCGCAAGAUCGUUAUAUUGGUUGAACUCUAGAUAACAUGCAGAUCGUAUGGUCUUGUACCGACGACAGAUCUUUCAAAUGUCUGCCCUAUCAACUUUUGAUGGUAGUAUCUAGGACUACCAUGGUUGCAACGGGUAACGGGGAAUCAGGGUUCGAUUCCGGAGAGGGAGCCUGAGAAACGGCUACCACAUCUAAGGAAGGCAGCAGGCGCGUAAAUUACCCACUCCCAGCUCGGGGAGGUAGUGACGAAAAAUAACAAUACAGGACUCAUAUCCGAGGCCCUGUAAUUUGGAAUGAGUACACUUUAAAUCCUUUAACAAGGACCAAUUGGAGGGCAAGUCUGGUGCCAGCAGCCGCGGUAAUUCCAGCUCCAAUAGCGUAUAUUAAAGUUGUUGCGGUUAAAACGUUCGUAGUUGAACUUGUGCUUCAUACGGGUAGUACAACUUACAAUUGUGGUUAGUACUAUACCUUUAUGUAUGUAAGCGUAUUACCGGUGGAGUUCUUAUAUGUGAUUAAAUACUUGUAUUUUUUCAUAUGUUCCUCCUAUUUAAAAACCUGCAUUUAGUGCUCUUAAACGAGUGUUAUUGUGGGCCGGUACUAUUACUUUGAACAAAUUAGAGUGCUUAAAGCAGGCUUCAAAUGCCUGAAUAUUCUGUGCAUGGGAUAAUGAAAAUAAGACCUCUGUUCUGCUUUCAUUGGUUUUCAGAUCAAGAGGUAAUGAUUAAUAGAAGCAGUUUGGGGGCAUUAGUAUUACGACGCGAGAGGUGAAAUUCUUGGACCGUCGUAAGACUAACUUAAGCGAAAGCAUUUGCCAAAGAUGUUUUCAUUAAUCAAGAACGAAAGUUAGAGGUUCGAAGGCGAUCAGAUACCGCCCUAGUUCUAACCAUAAACGAUGCCAGCUAGCAAUUGGGUGUAGCUACUUUUAUGGCUCUCUCAGUCGCUUUCCCGGGAAACCAAAGCUUUUGGGCUCCGGGGGAAGUAUGGUUGCAAAGCUGAAACUUAAAGGAAUUGACGGAAGGGCACCACCAGGAGUGGAGCCUGCGGCUUAAUUUGACUCAACACGGGAAAACUUACCAGGUCCGAACAUAAGUGUGUAAGACAGAUUGAUAGCUCUUUCUCGAAUCUAUGGGUGGUGGUGCAUGGCCGUUCUUAGUUCGUGGAGUGAUUUGUCUGGUUAAUUCCGAUAACGAACGAGACUCAAAUAUAUUAAAUAGAUAUCUUCAGGAUUAUGGUGCUGAAGCUUAUGUAGCCUUCAUUCAUGUUGGCAGUAAAAUGCUUAUUGUGUUUGAAUGUGUUUAUGUAAGUGGAGCCGUACCUGUUGGUUUUGUCCCAUUAUAAGGACACUAGCUUCUUAAAUGGACAAAUUGCGUCUAGCAAUAAUGAGAUUGAGCAAUAACAGGUCUGUGAUGCCCUUAGAUGUCCUGGGCUGCACGCGCGCUACAAUGAAAGUAUCAACGUGUAUUUCCUAGACCGAGAGGUCCGGGUAAAACCGCUGAACCACUUUCAUGCUUGGGAUUGUGAACUGAAACUGUUCACAUGAACUUGGAAUUCCCAGUAAGUGUGAGUCAUUAACUCGCAUUGAUUACGUCCCUGCCCUUUGUACACACCGCCCGUCGCUACUACCGAUUGAAUUAUUUAGUGAGGUCUCCGGACGUGAUCACUGUGACGCCUUGCGUGUUACGGUUGUUUCGCAAAAGUUGACCGAACUUGAUUAUUUAGAGGAAGUAAAAGUCGUAACAAGGUUUCCGUAGGUGAACCUGCGGAAG